AGAAGCACGACAUUGCUCACAUUGCUUCCAAUAGUAUUUACGGUCGGCUAGUUUGCCGGCCUUUUUUU
rnacentral:antisense_RNA from 1 species